rnacentral:tRNA from 1 species
GGUCGCGUAGCUCAGCUGGAUAGAGCAACUGCCUUCUAAGCAGUAGGUCACUGGUUCGAAUCCAGUCGUGAUCA